rnacentral:lncRNA from 1 species
CGGUAAUGCCUUGUACCCUGUUCCGGUGUCGAAUAUGGGUAAGGGGUGUUACAAUGUAUCUACCCAACCCUCAAUACGUAUGGAUAGAUGUCUAUAGUCAUACAAUGUAAGACCAAAGAAAUGGGGCAAAUACAAAUUAUCAUUUCAGGCCUGGGCUUUGUACUAAGGUUCAUCAAGAAGUGUUUACAAGCUCAAAAUAGGUACUAAGGUUGAAUAAUUACAUGUCAGGUAUUUGGCUCUAGAUGUGUUCUAAACAAUGCCUUAGGUCAUCCCUUAAAUAUCUCAAUAUGAACAUGUUCCUUG